rnacentral:rRNA from 1 species
UACAGAGGUCUCAAGCGUUGUUCGGAUUCAUUGGGCGUAAAGGGUGCGUAGGUGGCGCCGUAAGUCUGGUGUGAAAUUUCGGAGCUUAACUCCGAAACUGCAUUCGAUACUGCGGUGCUUGAGGACUGGAGAGGAGACUGGAAUUCAUGGUGUAGCAGUGAAAUGCGUAGAGAUCAUGAGGAAGACCAGUGGCGAAGGCGGGUCUCUGGACAGUUCCUGACACUGAGGCACGAAGGCCAGGGGAGCAAACGGG